CAGCAGAUGCUUUACUUAACUAUAGCUUGUUAAAAAUAAAGCUAAAAGUCUGCACAACCAUGCAUACUUUUGUAUGCUAAAAACCCUUAGAAGAAUAAUAUAGAAUAUUGAAUCCCUGAUUCUCAACUGAACAUUUACUAAAUGCAUUGUAAGAAUCUGGCAAGCCCUUGUAGUACUUCUCCGUAUGCCUACAUGCAAGUGUACAUAUGCAGCGCGUUGCAUCAGAUUUCAGCAAGUACUAACAUCUAAUCUAAGAUGUUUAACAUAUGGGGUGUUGUACCUAGGUGUAUCCAUCCAAUCUUUGUCCAUGCUAGUUGCACCUGCACACAUGAUUAAUAGUGAAUUUAAAUGCCUCACACACUGUCCACACACAAAAAAACUAGAAAAUUCAAAAUGUGAAUAGAACUCUGAAACUGAAACUAAAAUCAAAAUCAAACCCUUUCUAUGCCUCGCAUGUGGAUCAUAGGAAACAAAAUAGGUGUUCCAGGAAUUGAACUUCAUAGGAAACAAUUAAGUCUAGAAAGAAUUCAUUAUAUCAUUAUCAAAUAGUGUCUAACAGUAUAAGAAAAAACCUUUUGGAAAUCCACAUGUCGUUCGGAUCCCGCUGGUUAGUAGGUUUGGCCCCCUUCUUUUGCCAGGCACUGCUUUAAAUGUUCACCAACAAUGUUAUACAUGUGGUGUCAUACAUUGUCCACACACAAAAUAACAGGAAAAGGCCAAUUCUAAAAUAUACAAGUUCAAGAUAAGUUGCUGCUUAUCAAGGAAUAGCAAGAGAUUAUGCAAGUCAGGUACAAUAUUGUUAUCAUGACAACUAGGAACUAAAGGUGCCACGCUAAAUUGGUAUCUUAAUUUAUGGGCGGAGGCAAGAGCUGAAACUGAACCAGAAUCUCAAGUUUUGGUUUGCCUUAUAAUGUAUUACUGCUACACAGAUAAUUAUUGUUCUUGUGCAUGAUCUCAACUUGUCACAGGACAUCAUUAGCAUUUUCAUAUAUUCUCUCGGAUCCCACUUUUCAAAGCCAGAACAACACUCAAGAGUCUAAACUAUGGUGACAACCCAAGGUUCAGAGCAAUAAAUAUAUCAUUAAAAUCAGUCUAAAUGUGCCAUUUUCCACAAAGUAUCAUCAUAGUUAAGAUUUAUAGCUAAGUUCUAUGUUCCAAAUUUAAGCAGUAUGCUAGUUACUUAUGAUGAUAAUACACUAAGCAAAUUUCUUUUGAUAACGAAGGCCAACCAAAUUGACCACUAUGCAGAAGGUGUGCUCAUGCAUAACAACUACACUGUUUUCUUCUCAAAGCACAUAGUACGUGUAAAUUAGCUUUCAAAAUCCACACAUAACAUAAGCAGGAACAUGUGGAGGGGAAAAACAAUUCUUCCGAAGAGAAAUCGUUGUAUUGCUGGGAAAUAGAUAACACAUGAGGUGGAUAAAGACCUUGCAUUAGAAGGACUAAAACCAACCCACUGUCCUAGUUGGAUCUGGAAGAGGCAUCUUGGAGCAUACCUUCUUGGCCGGCAGCACCUCCAGGAGAUGGUGAGCUUGGGCGCGGACGAAAAGGGAAGCUCCCGGCAGGGUUUGGAGGGCGACGGCAAGACCACCUGUGCGUGCAGGGCAGCGUAGUGAGCGACGGUGAAGGGAAGGGCGCACGGACAGGAGGAGAGAGCACCUGCAGAUGGAGGGGGGGGAGGAGGACGGAGAAAGCACCUACCGGUGGAGGCGGCGGCAGUAUGGUGUACGGGGUACCAC
rnacentral:lncRNA from 1 species